rnacentral:rRNA from 1 species
UACGUAGGGUGCGAGCGUUGUCCGGAAUUAUUGGGCGUAAAGAGCUCGUAGGCGGUCUGUCGCGUCGGUCGUGAAAACUUGGGGCUUAACCCUGAGCUUGCGGUCGAUACGGGCAUGACUGGAGUUCGGCAGGGGAGACUGGAAUUCCUGGUGUAGCGGUGAAAUGCGCAGAUAUCAGGAGGAACACCAAUUGCGAAGGCAGCUCGCUGGGACGUUACUGACGCUGAGACGCGAAAGCGUGGGGAGCAAACAGG